CAGUAAGAAAUUAAAAGAUAAGUCCUAAGAAGCCUUGAAAUCUCGAAAGAUCUCACAACUCCCUUCAAACGGCUCUAAUCUCCCCUCCAAAGAAUAUCAAUGGCAAGAAGAAGGUUGAAGAUGGCUCCCACAAUCAAAAAGAUUGUUAAAACAACUUCUAAAGAAAACUCAAGAGAAAAUCCUUGAAGAACUCAAAGAGAAUUUUCACUCAAAUCAAA
rnacentral:lncRNA from 1 species